rnacentral:misc_RNA from 1 species
GAUGAAGAACGCAGCGAAAUGCGAUAAGUAAUGUGAAUUGCAGAAUUCAGUGAAUCAUCGAGUCUUUGAACGCACAUUGCGCCCCCUGGUAUUCCGGGGGGCAUGCCUGUCCGAGCGUCAUUGCUGCCCUCAAGCACGGCUUGUGUGUUGGGCCCCGCCCCCCGGCUCCCGGGGGGCGGGCCCGAAAGGCAGCGGCGGCACCGCGUCCGGUCCUCGAGCGUAUGGGGCUUCGUCACCCGCUCCGUAGGCCCGUCCGGCGCCCGCCGGCGACCCCCCUCAAUCUUUUUUCCAGGUUGACCUCGGAUCAGGUAGGGAUACCCGCUGAACUUAAGCAUAUCAAUAAGCGGAGGA